CCCCUCUCAGGGUCGCACCUGGAGAGUUUCCAGUCCUCCACCAGUCCCGACUACAGAAGGGAGAGUCAAGCAGAGGCCUACCCAUUCCAGUCCUCGCUUGGCUAGUAGCUAGGGAGUGGAGGACAAUCUGCUACAAGU